CCAGACAUAAAUGGUGUGUUUUCCUGUCUAACAGUGAUCUCCUGAUGUCCUGGAACUGGCAACAGAAAAUUACAUCAAAUGCCAAGGAAACAGCAUGAAGUAAGCAUGACAAGUUCACUUGGAGCAUCGCAACACUGAUCAUCAUAAUGGUUCGUUUUUCUAAUCUCCAGAAAUGAACCGCCUUUGUUUAUUAUUUGAGUGUAUGUAUGCAUGCUCAUGCAUGAACAUGUACAGAUGUGCAAGGGCCGCCAUCCAUGUGGAGGUCAGAGGACAACUCAUGGGAGUCAGUUCUGUCUACCAUUUGGGUUCGGAGAAUUGGCAGCAAGAACCUUUAACCACUGAGUCAUCUUGUCAGUCCAUCGCUUGGGUUAGGUUCACAUUUGCAUCUUAUGGUUUCUCGGCUCUCUGGUCUGUAUUCUUGCCAGCUUGAAACAGACUUGUAAAAUGUUAGCGAUGAUAACCAUCCUUGAAGUAAUGUUAAUGAGCAAAAGGCAAUUUGGCUACUCCCAUCAUCCUGAAUCUGACUCAGCUCAUUUUUCCCCUGAAUCUGACUCAGCUCAUUUCCCCCUCUGUAUUGAAACAGGAGAGUUCUCAACAAUUGAACCAGAAACAUAGGAAAUGAAUGAAAAUGCACCAGAUAUGAUAUUGAUUUUACAGCAUCAACAAGAGUCGACUUCAGAGAAUACCCUCUAGUUAUUAAGUAAUACAGAAGACACACUUUCUACAAAGUCAUUCUUAUAAAGCAGACUUGCUACAAAGUUGCUUUUUUUUUUUUUUUUUUUUUGGCAUAUGCCUUCACCUUUCAACUUACCUACUUAAAAAAGUAAAGUUAAAAUGCUCAUCAGCUGGAGAGCAACUCAACAAUUUCAGCAUAAUAAAGCAAUAUAAUAUUUAACCACAAAACAGAAAAUGAAAAUGGAUGGCUUGAAUAAGGUUGUUUCUAGAAGAGAGAAUGGAUGUGAACGUGUGACUGUAGUGUACAUUUAUACACUCUGAAACAAAAAUGGAAAUAGUACACAGAAUGUGGGCUUACUUUUCAAGAAAGAGAAAAAAAUAAAAUUUUGAGUUCAUGUGUAGGAAAAAUUUCUAGAAGGGUCUUUGAACAUAAUCUUUCAUUACAUGGAUUAUUUACCUUUUUCUCUUACAAUGUUUUCUAACCUAAAGACAUUAUGAACAGCUUGAGCCUCCAAUUCCCCCCACCCCAAGUUAUGCAGCUAACCCUAUUUCUGCACUGGUCAGGAGACUGACUCUAUUUCAAUGGAAUCCCAAUAUGCUUGGUUUCUGCUAAGGAACAUGUUGGUGAAGGCCAUGGACAAGAGGCUUGGUGAUAACAUGAGGCAUGAAAAGGGUGUCUAGCUCAUAUCUUGUCUAGGGUUUUCAACCCAAAUCAGAAAGACCACGUGGUGGUUGUUUGGCUGUUUGGGAAUAAGGGAAGGAGAUAAACAGGCUCUCAUUCACACCAGUGCUCAGUGAAUCAGAAUGGAUCUCAGGCUACAUUUUAAAGGACAAUAUGCCUCACUCUAAAAAGAAAGAAGAGAGUGAACCAGGGCUUAAGGCUCAAUAGAGCAGAAGAAAUUGGGCUUCUGGGAUUAUUUUAUACUUGAAAACAAGUCAAAGAAACUGUUGUGAAUGAGUUCACAGAUAUGCUUUCAAGAAUUAAAAAGCUAAGUGCAAGUCAGGAUGGGUGGGGUUCCAGAGUGGCGGCAUGAACUUUGCUCCCUACCAUUCAUUCACCUAAGACAGCUCAAGCUACAGUCACAGAACAAGAACAAGAAAGCAACUUUGAAUUUGCCCUUGAAGCUGUCUCCUUAUGCAAAGAAAAAAACCCGAAAUGUCAGGGACAACCCUCCGCAAAGCAUUUCACUCAGCCUGCUCUUCCUUUGCAGUGAAACAGUCCUUCUUUCUACCAACAGAUGGGAACAGGCUGGUUUGAUCAAGUCACACAGUCAGGUGACGGUAGAGUGAAAACUGGCCUCUCUCUUUCCCAUGCUCUUACUACUCUGGCCAGCUCUUUCCACAGAACCACUAACCUCCUGUUCUAAAGUCUUCAAGAGUUUCCAAAAAUACAAGAAUGCUUAUUUUUAAAGUGCUGCUAUUAGACAAUGGACCAGUGUUGUAGUUUAUCAAAGGCUCUUGCCUUCGCCUACCAAUCCUGCAAGGAAAAAUAUCUUACCACAAAGGAGCAAAUUUUGAAUAAUGACUAUAGAGCAGCCCAACUGGCUGUCACUGGCCUCCUUUCUUUUCUCCGUCUUCAUAUACCGAGGAUAUUCCACCAGCAGUGACGUUAACAAGUCUCCGUUUAUCUGAGUUGGCAGGUACACGGUAUGCAUUUCCAGAAGCAACUCUAAACUUCAAGGCUGUACAAAUCACGUCUGAUUUUGUAACUUAGCAGAGUUUCCAGCUAAUGCCAGCACUCUUUUUCUGAGUCAGUUCCAUUAUUUGGAAAGCAAACAGAAGAAAUAUUUUUCAGUCCCCCAAAUAACAUUUCAAAUGCAAAUACUUAGAAGGGGGGAAAAAGUCUCAAAGAACACCAGAAGAAACAGACUUUGAAAAUUAGCCUUCUCAAGCAGAAUGGGAAGAAAAAAAGGUUUUUCAAAUAGAGGAUUACAAGUUCUUUUAUUUACACAUGGAGGAAAGUAGCUAAAUAUUGACACUGUUCUUUACGAUAGAAGGCAUUACAUACACAAGAGGCUGUUGACUCUGGAUGUACCAGACAAAAGCAAACCUAAAACAUUUCCUUUUCCAUCAGUACAAGAAGAAAUGACGGUAUUAUAAGUAAUAAUCAGUCUUCAUUAUGCCGAACUAGCAAAAAAGAUACCAAGAUUUUUUUUUUUCUGCUAUGAAAAGAUGAUCCCCAAGGUCCUCUUCAUUUGCAGGCUUCACUUCUUUCUCUCACCAAGGGGCAGGGGAGUAGCAGUCCAUCAAAUUAGUUAAUUGCAAUGAAUCCUUGGUAAUAGGACUUCUUACCUUGGGCAAUUCUUUUAUGUCUCACCAUGUUAAUGAAGUUCCUAGACUUAAACCAAAGCCCAGAUGGUUUGAUUUGUAAUGUCAGGACUAGGAGAGAGAGAUUUUUGUCCUUAUGGCAAGCAAUUUAUCUCAGAAGGCAAGACAGCAUAAAACCUGCCUGAUCUUUUCACAAUGAUUUUUACAGACUCUAUUGUAUUAAAAUGUAUUGACUAAUGAUGGUAAAACUCUACAAGAUAGAAUCCCUAAUAGAGCCCAUGGUGUUUAAGAAAUGUACAAUACUGCUUUUGGUAAGCCUUUCCCAGAGAAAUGUGUAAAUUCCGUUCCCAAGGGGAAAACCAGAAUUAUUAAUUCAGAGGUUUCCAUUCCUCACACGGUUUUUCCUUUUGCUCCAUAUCACACUUGACUUCCAUAUUCAUUAUUUUUCUAUUGCUGUGAUGAAUGCUUUGACCAAAGCAACACAUAGAAGAAAGAGUUUAUGGUUCCAGAGGCUUAGGCUUCAUCACAAUGUCAGGGACAGAAGGGGGCAGACAUAGUGACUGGAGCUGAAGCUAAGAACUCACAACUCAAACUGUGAGCAGGAACAGAGAAUGCACUGGAAAUGUCCAGUGGCUUUUGAAGCUUCAGAGCCCACCCCAGUAAUACACUUCCAGCACCAAGAUCACAUCUUUUAGAUCUACACAAGCAGUAUCCCAAUCGGGGACCAAAUAUUCAGAUGCCCAAAACAUCUCAUUCACACCACAAACUUUCAAAUUAAUUUGGAUAAGCAGUUAAAUUGGUUCUAAAUAAAGUUUUAGGGUCCAACUUGACAAACAGGCUUUUCUCAAAAUAAGCACUGAAGAUUUUUACUUUGUUUAAUAUACUUUCCACAUGAGUAGAUGCAAAUUCUAGUCAGAGGAAUUGCUAUCACUAUCCCAAAUUUUAGGUUAGAAGUCUAAUUAUAAUAAUAAUAUUUUAGAGGAAAAAAUGACGUUCAUUAUUGUCCUCUAGCUUCUUAACUUUUAACUUCAAAAAAAAUGUGACUGUUUUGUUAUUUGACAGUGAAUUUACAUUAUUGCUUCUUAUCUAAGAAAAAUUAUUAUCUUAAUUUUUUUAAUUAAACUGGAACCUCUCACCUUAACGUUUUGAUUAUCUACUUUGAUUAUCUACCAUGGUUUUCUUCUGCUCAACAAAUUAUUCCUUCCUGGGGGGAGAAAAAAAAAACCAAAGUUCCAUUUUCAUUUAACCAUGCCCUCCUCCCCAUCCUUUCCACUCCCCUAUCUCUCCACAUCCCCUCUCCACCAAUAAGCAAUUGCCACACCCAUUUUACAGACAGGAAAAGGAAGCUCAAGGGUUCUUCAUGGUAUCCAAAGACAUUCUGACUCUAAACUUAAAUUGUUAGGAAUGGUGAAUUUUGUGUGAAACCAGUACGUUCUGAAACACGGUUUCUUAGAUCAGCCACUGCUCAGGUCUGAGGUCAAAGGGUGGGAACACACUUCUGUCUGUGAGUUCUUAAGGACCAGCUAUUGUGCUGUUUCCAGCAUGGAACACUGUGUCUGAGACUGCUUUCCAUUCAUCUCAGUUGGAACAGAUAACUAUAUAAUUCAAUAAGCAUGAUUUGUAAUUAAAUAGUGUCUUUUCUUGUUGCUCUAAAAUUGUAUUUUGCCAAUUGUGCUAUUCAGAAAACUCUCAGAGAUGUUAAUAGCUACAUCAUAAGAAUGAGUCCUAGUGGUGAAUUUGAGAAAUAUUAUUUAUUAAAGGACUUUUAAAGAGAAUUUAUAAUCCAUAUUAGCUUGAUAAAAGGAUCUGAGCUCUCUUAUGAUAAAGAGUCUUGUUUAAUUUCAUUUAACUCUUUGCCCAAAGAAAUCAACCUUUCUUAGGUAGAAUUGCUUUAACAUUUCUCUAUUUAGCCAUGAUGUAUGAACUGCAGUUUAAAAAAAAAAA